GAGCCAUUAGCUCAGUCGGCAGAGCAUCUGCCUUUUAAGCAGGGUGUCCGGGGUUCGAAUCCCCGAUGGCUCACCA
rnacentral:tRNA from 10 species